CUUCUUAACUAUGCUGAUUUCCCUGUCGAGAAAGGCACAAUAGGGAUAUGACCAUUAGCUGGUAAGGGAGAGCCUUCACUUCACAAUGAGGAACAGCCAUCAAGGAUGAGAUGCAGCCCAGCCCCUGAAAGCCAGAGGCGGAAUCAGAGAGGAGAGAGAAAUCAAUUACUGCCUUUGCCUCUGCCUAAAACAAGCCGUGUCGGAGACCAUCUACAAAAGGAGGACAAAAGGGGCCGGUGGCCCCUCAAACUCCCAAACCUCAGGAGACGGGGAGGAGAGCAUUCUGUCACGAGCUCUGACACACAGCCAUCACUGCCACCAGCGCAAAAUAGGCCCCUGUCACACCUCAAAAUGGGAUCCAGCCACUUCAUGUGCAAUCAGGCCCACAUCAGUGAUUGAUGACCUCAAAGUGAAAUAUGA